CGUUGUUGCACCAUGCUUUGGCGUCUGAUUUGUAUCUGGAUUGUCCAAAGUAGGACCAGAUUCAUUUGUUACAUUCUCUCUUUUGACUGUUUUCCAUUUGAUGUAGGCCAGCCCUGCAAACGCCCACUGGUUCACCAUGUUAUUGUGCAGUCCCUUUUUAUGUAGUGUUUCCCUUCUGUAUUUCAGUGGGUGGUGUUCCCAUCGACUAUUCCACAAAUACUUUCCCUGCCACAGGUAGGCCUCCUUUGGGGACCAGUCAUUUCGUUAUGUGAUAGUGGACAAUUCUACAAACCCCAACAAUUCGACAAACGCUACUCUCUGCCACAGGAAAAGAGAUGAACUUCAAGGUGAAAAAAGGAGACACUCAGAACCUGCCCUAUGACUACAAUACCAUCAUUCAAUACGGACCGUAUUUCUUCUCAGCAGACCGGAACCACACCAUUGUCCCCAAGAAGGGUGGAGUCCAUAUAGGACAGAACUGACCUGAGCUCCCUGGACAUAACACGCCUUAACGAACUCUACCACUGUGAAGAAACAACACACUGAUGACACCAACAGUGAAGAUUCCAGGUCGGAUAACACCGAUGUCGACUCAAGUUUCCCACCCAAGUAGCACCGCCAUCUCACUUCUCUUCACAAUGAAUAAGUUAAACAAGUGCCUCAAAGCUUUCAGAUGAUGAUGAUUAUGUACUGUCAUCUGUCUGGCUGCAGGCAGUAACGGUUGCUGCCUGCCAUUAGGCCUAUACCACUGCACUACUCUUGCUGAUAAAUACAAUUACCUGGACUGAAAUGAAUCUGUUUACUGUGAUGUUGAUUUCAACAAAGAUCUGAACAAAGUUCACCGAUAAAUACCUUUUUUUGUGUAUUUUACCAUG